UUAAAUUGAAAAAAAGUAAAAGCCAGUGAGGGAAGAGAAGGCCAGAAGGAAAGAGAAAAGUAGCCUCCGGAUCAGACGUCCCUCAUUGACAGUGAUUCGUGUCCAGCUAAAGAUCACCGUUCACCGUUAUAACAUUUCCGACAGUUGAGUCGUACAUUAUUAUUAUUUCCUUUUCUUCUCUCUUCUUUUCUGUUCUUUUCUUUUCCUUUUCUAUUGGAAUCACAGAACGUCGACUCGAAUGUAUCUUCCAUCCUUUCUACGCCUUUGUUAAUCAAUAAUGAGGGUUUUGGCUUUUGAAAUGGCUGAAGCUUCGAAAGGUCGUGUCACUAUUACUCUUGGGCGUACUGGUCAGGUGGUAAAGAGAGCUGCAGCUGUAUCGGGGGUUGACUCUGAUGAUCCUCUGCCUGGUGCUAGUAAUAAGCGGUCUGUAAGAGAUAGGUUAGGAAGUAGUUUGGAAAGUUUCUCAUCACAUGGAAGCCUAGUUAACAACAAAAGUUAUACUUUACCAUAUUGCAGACAAAGAGGAGACAGUUAUUUGACAGGUUUGAGUGGGAACCGUGUGGAAGAUGGUCGCAUCGGUAAGGAUGACCUUCGAUUCAAACUCAUGCAAAAAAAUGUCACUAGAAGAGCCCAGAGAGACUAUGGCAAAAAAAACAUGGACCUCCGUGAAAAGUUGUCAAGGACAGUGCACCAGCAUUCAGGUCCUCCACCUAGUACUGUUGAUACACUGCAGCACAUGCCUGAUCCUAAGAACACUAGUAUCUUGGGUCGACUGCCUCCUGCAAGAAGUGUGGAUAAUUUGCCCAGGAUUGAUUCGUCAACAAGCUCUUAUUCUCCUUGGACAUUGGAUCAUAUACGAAGGAGAUCUCCGGAUAGAAUUAUUGGUAGUUCUAGGGGUUUAUCUCCGCCCAGAAAUGUGGGAGAAUUACAAAGAAGGCCAUUAAGCAGGACAUUGGAUGAUGGAAUAACAGUUCCAUACAUGAAUAAGGAUGUUCUUGAUGCUUCGAGGCCUGUCAGUAGUUCCACACCUUUCAUGAGUAAAACUGUGUUGCCUGCAGUAGCUACAAAGCCGACAGCGCCUCUUUUGGGCCAACUUCCUCCAAGUGCAAGUGGGAUUCUACAAAAGAGCUCAUAUGCGGCUGAAGAACAACAGACUGUUGAAGGCUUGUUACAUUCUCUGGGAUUGGGGAAAUAUGCCAUUAUUUUUAAAGCUGAGGAAUUUUAUACAUGCAUGCCUGCAUGCAUACCCAAGUCCUGUACUGCAAUUGAACAAAAAUCUGAGGAAUUGCAAGAUUAAAAAUUUGGAAAUUUCAGAAUAUUUUCAAUACACAUAUGACACCAUGUCAUAUGGAUUUGGGUUAUUUGAGAGCUGUUAUGACCAUUAUUGAAAUUUGUUAAGGUGGAUAUGACUGCAUUGAAACAGAUGGGGGAAAGCGACCUCAAAGAGCUGGGAAUACCCAUGGGACCAAGAAAAAAGAUUCUUCUUGCUCUCCUGCCUCGUUCCAAGAGACAAGCUCGAUGACUGUACUUAGAAAGCCAAGCUGUGUUAGCGAAUUAGGUCAAAAUACUGUGAUGGGUGGCUCAUAUAUUAUCUAUUUUUCCAUGGAGUUCCACCCUGCAUUUCUUCUCAGAUUAGAUUUGUAGUGCUUCAUGAAUCAAUAGUCAAAAUUUUUGCAUCCAAUAAGUACUUAAUCGGUCAAUAUUUGAUAGUUUGGGUCAAAAAGUUUUUGAGAUGUAGGAUAUCGUUAGAUGUUAGAUUGCUUUUCAUGUAUUCUUUUUAUAUGCUUGAUUAUGAUCGUGUACUCAAACUGUAUCCAUAGAAUUGGUCGUGGGGACAGGAUGCUGAUGUAAAGAAUUAACUUGGAGAUGGAUGUUAUAUCAAUUUUUAGUUGCA